GACGAACCGUGCGAACGUUGUUCGGAAUCACUGGGCUUAAAGGGCGCGUAGGCGGGCGGGCAAGUCGGAUGUGAAAUCCCCAAGCUUAACUUGGGAACUGCAUCCGAUACUGGAUGGCUUGAAUCCGGGAGAGGGAUGCAGAAUUCCAGGUGUAGCGGUGAAAUGCGUAGAUAUCUGGAGGAACACCGGUGGCGAAGGCGGCAUCCUGGACCGAGAUUGACGCUGAGGCGCGAAAGCCAGGGGGAGCAAACGGGG
rnacentral:rRNA from 1 species